rnacentral:lncRNA from 1 species
CCAUGUCUCCCCGGGCCACCUCAUUCAGCAGCUGGGUCCUCUGGAUAGUCUGGAGGGAGAACAUGCUGGUAUCGCCAUCGUCAGCGAUGGACACACCAGGGAGGUCCAUCUUCAGCUCCACGCGCUCACGCUGCUUCCGCUGCUCCUUCAGGAUCUUCUUCUUCUUUCGUUUUAGCUCUGCCAGCUCCUUAGCCUUCAUCUCUGCUAAUGCCAGCUCUACCUCCUCUUCUUCCUCUUUCACCAUCUCAUCAGCUGCAGCUUUUGGUGACGUCUUCUCCUCCUCCUCCCGGC